rnacentral:rRNA from 1 species
GUGUGCCUACGGGGCGCAGCAGUGGGGAAUAUUGGGCAAUGGGCGCAAGCCUGACCCAGCAACGCCGCGUGAAGGAAGAAGGCCCUCGGGUUGUAAACUUCUUUUGUCAGGGACGAAGCAAGUGACGGUACCUGACGAAUAAGCCACGGCUAACUACGUGCCAGCAGCCGCGGAAAUACGUAGGUGGCAAGCGUUAUCCGGAUUUACUGGGUGUAAAGGGCGUGUAGGCGGGGGAGCAAGGCAGUCGUG